rnacentral:tRNA from 1 species
GGGGGUGUGGCGGAAUGGUAGACGCGACGGAUUCAAAAUCCGUUUUCGAAAGAAGUGUCGGUUCGAGUCCGACUACCCCUACCA